UACGUAGGGUGCAAGCGUUGUCCGGAAUCAUUGGGCGUAAAGAGCGCGUAGGCGGCCCAGUAAGUCCGCUCUGAAAGUCAGGGGCUCAACCCCUGGAUGCGGGUGGAUACUGCCGGGCUAGAGUCCGGAAGAGGCGAGUGGAAUUCCUGGUGUAGCGGUGAAAUGCGCAGAUAUCAGGAGGAACACCGAUGGCGAAGGCAGGUCUCUGGGCCACUACUGACGCUGAGAAGCGAAAGCAUGGGGAGCGAACAGG
rnacentral:rRNA from 1 species